rnacentral:lncRNA from 10 species
GAGAGGCCCUGGACAGCAUUUCCCUGGCGAAGUAACAAAUCACUCCAAAAUUUGGUGGUUUAAAACACCCGCCAUCUAGAUAGGGUGUGAUUCUGCACCUGAUGACCUGGGAGGACUCAGCAGGGGCACUUCUGGCCUUGGCAACUGUGGAAGUCAGGCACCAUUUCUUUUAUUUCAAGGCCAGAAGAAAGUCCUCUCCAGUGAACUUGCUUGUUUAAGCAUCCGCCCACUUACAUGUUAUACAGCCUGUCUUUUUCUCCUUGACCACACAGUAUUUUUUAUUUUACAUUUAAUUCUGUCUCCCCCUCAGACAUGGCCAUGUGUCCAUGGCCGUGUGUCUACUGCCAGCCCUAAUACCAGGCCUUGUACUUAAUAAAAAUUCAGAAAGCGUUUCCUGCCCACGUGAUUACAUGAAGAUGGCAUUGUGAUCUCCCUUCAGUAGAUGAAGACAGGGCAGACGUUCAGCCAGUCACCCCCAGUCAUCCAGCUAAUUCAUGAUGAUCCGGGGAAUCUAUAAAGUAAUGCAAAGACUCCAUAAAUUUAUAUCAAGAAUUUAUUUUUUUUUAAAAAGGUAAAAACCAAAAUUCAAGUAUAAACUAAACACUGGCUUGGUGUGGAAGUGGUUGGCCCAGCCCAGAAGGUGCCUCGGGCUCAGACUGACCGGGGGUGGAAGGGCGGCUGUGCACAGAGCUGUACCAUGGCAGGAACCCUGCCGCCCAGCCUAGGAGGGUGCCUGGCCUGCAUUUCCCUUUUCUCCCACCUUAGAAAACAGGGAUGGAUUUGGGGAGGGGCGGUUAGACAGGAGCAUGGCCAACAGCCCCAAAGCUGGGUGCAGAUACCGGCCAGUGCCCUGAGGGAAGUCACUUUGCCACUCCAUGCCUCAGCUUCCCCAUCUGUAACAUGGAAGUAAUAAUGUCACUAAGGUCAGGAGGAUCAAUGCAGUCUAUAUUUGCCGGAUAUUUGCUGCCUGGCACCAGAGUAUUGCAAAAGAGUCUGGUAAACCAGAGAAUCUAAUUCUGCUGUGUAGUGUCUAAAUCCAGGGAGUAUCCCGUCUCUGCUUGCCCACACGAGGGAUGGGAUUCCAUGUCAGACCCCGCAUGGCAGCAUGACCUUGUCCCUGCUCAGGGGAGUCCGGUGGUGCCUGUGUGGCAGAGACCCCCGAAUAAGAUCGUUCUUGGUUGCCUUUCAGGUUGAACUUGGAUUUCCUGUGAAUCUUGUUUAGUUUCUAUGCUGACCUUUGCAUUGGUUCUUUGGGAGUGUUUGUUAAAUUGAACUUGGAGAUGGAUGCUUUUAUUUGGAAACAAAAUCUGUUCCCUUUCCAGGACAACAGAAAAGGCCGAGACACCCUUGAGGCCACACGAGGUCCUUUCUGUGUAACUCUGGUCACAGAAGUAGCAAAACCUCCCUGGAUAGGGGCCAAGAGCUCAGCCGCAGAUAGGCCUCUUUUCCAGCAAACUUCAGAUGCGUUAAUAGAGGGAAUCAGGCAGGUCCUCUGCCGCUGACUGAGGGACCUGGCUCCCACGGAGCCCAGCUGUUACGAGCUGCAGGUCCGGGAGCAGGAUCGGUUCUCAUCAUUUAAACCUGCGUGUGGCAGCGGUGGAGGCCAGCCUUCUUGUCCCAUGCCUGCCUCAGGAUGGGCCGGGCUCCCAGGCGGGGCCUGUGUAGGUUUGGGGUCACUCACAGGGAAUCUUGCCCCUGCCAGCCAUGAACCCCAGGACACAGCGUGUGUCCUUGUGAGGGAAUUUGGGAGAAACGGACACUUCCGGAAUGCACGUUCCCAGGCCCUGAGUGCUAGAUAUGCACAGGGGCCUCAGACAUAAACGUAAAGAAACAGUGGUUUUUCUUGUUGGGCGGGGACUCCAGCAGUGGAGAGGAG